GGGUUGUGAGGUUAAGCGACUAAGCGUACACGGUGGAUGCCCUGGCAGUCAGAGGCGAUGAAGGACGUGCUAAUCUGCGAUAAGCGCCGGUAAGGUGAUAUGAACCGUUAUAACCGGCGAUUUCCGAAUGGGGAAACCCAGUGUGACUCGUCACACUAUCAUUAACUGAAUCCAUAGGUUAAUGAGGCGAACCGGGGGAACUGAAACAUCUAAGUACCCCGAGGAAAAGAAAUCAACCGAGAUUCCCCCAGUAGCGGCGAGCGAACGGGGAGGAGCCCAGAGCCUGAAUCAGCAUGUGUGUUAGUGGAAGCGUCUGGAAAGGCGCGCGAUACAGGGUGACAGCCCCGUACACAAAAGCGCAUGUGCUGUGAGCUCGAUGAGUAGGGCGGGACACGUGGUAUCCUGUCUGAAUAUGGGGGGACCAUCCUCCAAGGCUAAAUACUCCUGACUGACCGAUAGUGAACCAGUACCGUGAGGGAAAGGCGAAAAGAACCCCGGCGAGGGGAGUGAAAAAGAACCUGAAACCGU
rnacentral:rRNA from 39 species